GCCUCACGCGGUGGCGGUGGCGGUGGCGGUGACCGAGGAGCCUGAGGCGGGGGCGGCUGCGCACGCGGUGGGCUCGGGGGCGAAGAAACAUGGCAGCAAGGAGAAUUGCACAGGAGACUUUUGAUGCUGUAUUACAAGAAAAAGCUAAACGGUUUCACUUGGAUCCCAGUGGUGAGGCUGUAGGGGAAACUCUUCAGUUUAAAGCUCAGGAUCUCUUAAGAACAGUCCCAAGAUCUAGAGCAGAUAUGUAUGAUGACAUUCACAGUGACAGCAGAUAUUCCCUCAGCGGAUCUGUAGCUCUCUCUCGAGACACUGGGAGAGAAGGCCUGAGAGGUGAUGUAUUUUCAGGGCCUUCCUUCAGAUCGAGCAACCCUUCCAUCAGUGAUGACAACUACUUUCGCAAAGAGUGUGGCCGAGAUCUGGAAUUUUCCCACUCUGACUCUCGGGACCAGGUUUUUGGCCACCGGAAAUUGGGACAUUUCCGUUCUCAGGACUGGAAAUUUGCACUCCGUAGCUCUUGGGAGCAAGACUUUGGACACCCAGUUUCUCAAGAAUCCUCUUGGUCACAGGAAUAUAGUUUUGGUCCUUCUGCAGUAUUGGGGGACUUUGGUUCGUCUAGGCUGAUUGAGAAAGAGUGUUUGGAGAAGGAGAGUCAGGAUUACGAUGUGGACCAUCCAGGGGAGGCUGACUCUGGGCUCAGGGGCAGCAGUCAGGUCCAGGCCAGAGGCCGAUCUCUAAACAUUGUUGACCAGGAAGGUACCCUCCUAGGAAAGGCGGAGACUCAGGGCCUGCUCACAGCUAAGGGGGGUGUGGGGAAACUUGUCACGCUGAGAAGUGUAAGCACGAAAAAAGUACCUUCUAUAAAUCGUAUUAUUCCCAAAACUCAGGGCACUAACCAAAUCCAGAAAACCACCCCAAAUCCUGAUGUGACCCUGGGGACAAACCCAGGGACAGAAGACAUCCAGUUCCCUACUCAGAAGAUCCCUUUGGGGCUCGAUCUGAAGAAUAUUCGGCUCCCUAGAAGAAAGAUGAGCUUUGACCUUAUAGAUAAGUCUGACGUUUUUUCAAGAUUUGGAAGAGAAAUAAUUAAAUGGGCAGGAUUCCACACCAUAAAAGAUGAUGUUAAAUUUUCCCAACUUUUCCAGACUCUCUUUGAACUUGAAACUGAAACAUGUGCUAAAAUGCUCGCCUCAUUCAAAUGCUCCUUAAAACCAGAGCACAGAGAUUUUUGCUUUUUUACUAUCAAAUUUCUAAAGCACUCUGCUUUAAAAACACCCAGAGUUGAUAAUGAGUUUUUAAACAUGCUUUUAGACAAAGGUGCUGUGAAGACCAAAAAUUGCUUUUUCGAAGUCAUAAAGCCCUUUGACAAGUACAUAAUGAGGCUUCAGGACCGGCUUCUGAAGAGUGUCACACCCUUACUCAUGGCCUGCAAUGCCUAUGAGUUGAGUGUCAAGAUGAAGACCCUCAGUAACCCACUGGACUUGGCCGUUGCCCUAGAGACCACUAAUUCACUCUGCCGGAAGUCUUUGGCCCUUUUGGGACAGACAUUCUCCUUGGCCUCUUCUUUCCGGCAAGAGAAAAUCUUAGAAGCUGUGGGCCUCCAAGAUAUAGCUCCGUCUCCUGCUGCAUUUCCAAACUUCGAGGACUCCACUUUGUUUGGGAGAGAGUACAUAGACCACCUGAAGGCCUGGCUGAUCAGCAGUGGGUGUCCACUCCAGGUUAAGAAAGCCCAACCGGAGCUGGCGCAAGAGGAGGAGAAAAGUCCUGCAAAACCUGAAAUCCAGGCCAAGGCUCCUGGUGGUCAGAGUGAUGCAGUCCCCCAGCGAGCGGAUCACAAGGUGGUAGACACCAUUGACCAGCUUGUCACACGUGUCGUCGAAGGCAGCCUAUCUCCCAGAGAGAGAGCUGUUCUCAAGGAGGACCCUGCUUACUGGUUUUUGUCUGAUGAAAGUAGCCUGGAGUAUAAAUAUUACAAGCUGAAGUUGGCAGAGAUGCAGCGGUUGAGCCAGACCUGGCAGGGAGCCGAUCAGAAGCCAACCUCGGCCGAGUGUGCAGUGCGGGCUAUGCUGUACGCCCGGGCAGUCCGCAACCUCAAGAAGAGACUUCUUCCAGGACAGCGGCGGGGGCUCCUCCGUGCUCAUGGGCUCCGGGGCUGGAAGGCGAGGAGAGCAACCAUCGGCACCCAGACCCUCCUCUCCUCAGGCACACGGCUGAGACACCACGGCCAGCAGCCUCCAGGCUCCUCACAGGCAAAGCUGUCCCUGCCAGAUGGAAGCGAUGCUGGCAAGAACUGCCCACCAGACCCAGCUGGACCCUCUGCUCAGGACCCCAGCCCAGAAGCCUCAGGCCCAUCCCCCAGGGCAGCAGUAGCGGACGCCUCCGAAACCCCUCAGACCUCCUCUCCCUGCCCAUCUGCUGACGUUGACAUGAAGACAAUGGAGACUGCAGAGAAACUGGCCAGAUUUGUUGCUCAGGUGGGACCAGAAAUUGAACAAUUCAGCAUAGAAAACAGCACCGAUAACCCUGACCUGUGGUUUCUACAUGACCAAAAUAGUUCAGCUUUCAAAUUCUAUCGAAAGAAAGUGUUUGAACUGUGUCCAUCCAUUUGUUUCACAUCAUCUCCACUCAACCUCCCCACGGGUGGCGAUUCUCAGGAGAGCCCCGUGGACCAUGUGGAAGGGGAAAGGGACUUGGAGGACGAGUUCCCUCAGCAGGAGGCUGAGCUCAGGAGCCCAGAGUUGAUGCCUGAGGAGGACGAGGAUGAUGAGGACGAGGACGAUGAGGAUGAGGAGGGGAGAGAGGAGGCCUCUGCUCAUGGAGGGACCUCCAGGCCAGGAGGAGGGGACGGCAAGUCUGAGGGCUCUGAGGGCAGCCCUCCUGACGACGGCCUCCCCGGCGAGGCUGCCGAGGACGACCUGGCUGGAAUGCCCACCCUGUCACAGGCCUCUUCUGGCACCUGCUUCCCCCGGAAGAGGAUCAGCAGCAAGUCACUGAAGGUCGGCAUGAUUCCGGCUCCCAAGAGGGUGUGUCUCAUCCAGGAGCCAAAAGUUCAUGAACCAGUUCGAAUCGCCUAUGACAGGCCUCGGGGUCGUCCCAUGUCCAAAAAGAAGAAACCCAAGGACUUUGAAUUCGCCCAGCAAAAGCUGACUGACAAGAACCUGGGUUUCCAGAUGCUGCAGAAGAUGGGCUGGAAGGAGGGCCAUGGCCUGGGCUCCCGUGGGAAGGGCAUCCGGGAGCCCGUCAGCGUGGGAACUUCCUCGGAAGGGGAGGGGCUGGGCGCCGAUGGGCAGGAGCACAAAGAAGACACAUUUGACGUGUUCCGACAGCGGAUGAUGCAGAUGUACAGACACAAACGGGCCAGCAAAUAGAUCAGAACCACUGAUGAGAAAGAUAAGCCCUGAAGCAGCAAUGCCUCCUAAAACAUCACCCCCGCCCUGGAUCUGCCUGGAGCAGUGCCCGAGCAUGGCCUGUUCCAGGGUCUCUUCCGCGAGGACGACAGGCAUCCGGAAAGUGCUAACUCGCCACUUUGGGUGCUUACUGUCUCUGGCUUGUUUCCAUCACUGGAAAUCACAUAGAGAGUUUUAGUGGUUUUGGUCCUUGGUGAAACCUAGAAGAUGUUUGUGAUGUUACAAAUGAAAGUUUUUGUUUGUUUAAGAAAUUGUGAAUGUUGUUAAUCAUUUAGCAGUUGCAAUAAAUGUAGAGGAAACCCA